UAAAACUGCACAUUUGUUUAACCCUUAGCUGGUAUCGCCUUUUUUGGCAACACUACCGGUAUCGUGGGUCAAAUUCUACCCAUACCAAACAAUCUGUUGUAGAACGUAGAUUUUUUAUUAUUUGUAUAAAAUAUGGUUAGAUAAGAAAUAAAAAAAU